GACGAACGCUGGCGGCGUGCUUAACACAUGCAAGUCGAACGGUGAAAGCGGAGCUUGCUCCGCUGGAUCAGUGGCGAACGGGUGAGUAACACGUGGGCAACCUGCCCCUCACUUCGGGAUAACUCCGGGAAACCGGGGCUAAUACCGGAUAUGACCUCCUUGGGCAUCCUUGGAGGUGGAAAGUUUUUCGGUGAGGGAUGGGCCCGCGGCCUAUCAGCUUGUUGGUGAGGUAGUGGCUCACCAAGGCGACGACGGGUAGCCGGCCUGGGAGGGGGACCGGCCACACUGGGACUGAGACACGGCCCAGACUCCUACGGGAGGCAGCAGUGGGGAAUAUUGCGCAAUGGGCGAAAGCCUGACGCAGCAACGCCGCGUGCGGGAUGACGGCCUUCGGGUUGUAAACCGCUUUCAGCAGGGAAGAAGCCGCAAGGUGACGGUACCUGCAGAAGAAGCACCGGCUAACUACGUGCCAGCAGCCGCGGUAA
rnacentral:rRNA from 1 species